rnacentral:rRNA from 1 species
UACGGAGGAUCCAAGCGUUAUCCGGAUUUAUUGGGUUUAAAGGGUGCGUAGGUGGCCUGUUAAGUCAGGGGUGAAAGACGGUAGCUUAACUAUCGCAGUGCCCUUGAUACUGAUGGGCUUGAAUGAACUAGAGGUAGGCGGAAUGUGACAAGUAGCGGUGAAAUGCAUAGAUAUGUCUCAGAACACCAAUUGCGAAGGCAGCUUACUAUGGUUUUAUUGACACUGAGGCACGAAAGCGUGGGGAUCAAACAGG